rnacentral:rRNA from 1 species
UACGGAGGGGGCAAGCGUUGUUCGGAAUUACUGGGCGUAAAGGGCGCGUAGGCGGCCUGCUAAGUCGGACGUGAAAUCCCUCGGCUCAACCGAGGAACUGCGUCCGAUACUGGUGGGCUUGAAUCCGGGAGAGGGAUGUGGAAUUCCAGGUGUAGCGGUGAAAUGCGUAGAUAUCUGGAGGAACACCGGUGGCGAAGGCGGCAUCCUGGACCGGUAUUGACGCUGAGGCGCGAAAGCUAGGGGAGCAAACGGG